GAAUUUUAUAUAAAUUUAAUAAUAAAUUUUAAUUUAGGAUUUAUUAAAUUUAUAUUUCAUUGGGAGGAUGAUUAAAUUUAUAAAACUUUAAUAGAUAAAAAUCAUUAAUUUAUGAAUUAGAGGUAUGAAUGAUUAAUAAAUUUAAAUAAAAUUAAUUACCUUAGGGAUAACAGCGUUAUAUUUUUAGAUAGAUCUUAUUGAUAAAGAUGUUUGC
rnacentral:rRNA from 1 species